AUGCUACAGUUUGCCUUGGAGAGCUAGGAGUGAGAGGGAUAGGCUGCUUGGAGAUAGUACUGAGGAAAGGUGUUUGGGUGUGGAAGAUAGGAAAGUGGUGUGGGAGAAGGGUUGUUAAAGAAUGGAGCAAAAAGAGUCAUUAGUCCAUUUGGAAGAAGACAGCUUCUGGAGGUGCCCAACUACCAAUACAGUUUCAGAGUCUGCCAGACCAUAAGGAACAUGCUCUUCUGAAAUUUGUGCUAGAGGUCUACUGUCAGCAAACAUGAACUUGGCCCGUUCACAUUUCCCCAUAGCUUUAAAAAGAAUUCUGUUGAGAAUCCAGUGGGAAAGUGGUAAAUUUGAAAGCUUCUGAAGAGUGCAUCGUAGCUCAGAAUGUGCAAAGCUCCAACACUGGCAAACUGUGGGGUAAUGCCCCAUGUUUCCUCAGUUCCCUUGCUGAAACAUGAGCUCUGUCAGGAAAUAGGCACUUAUUUGAACUGCAGCAAAGCACCACUCAAUAAAGAUCAUUCUGAGCUAGUUUUGGAAUCUUCUCUGAUCUGAGAUGAUGCCAUAAGAUAUUCUCUGGCAGCUACACAUGCAACAAACUUCCUUACCAAAUCAGCCAUCGACUCAGGACUUCAAAUUGUAAGCCACAGAGGGUGAACCUGUUGACCACUUAAUGGCACUUAAUCAUUGUGAAAAUGUGAUGUUCAGAACAGAGUGAUGAUAUCAAGAGAACUUAAUAGUACCAGUUUUGUAUGACAUGAAAUAGACGUUUAUAUGACAUAAAUAGAAUAACUUAUAGGAAAAACAGCAAAAAGAAGACCAAACUGAUACUUAAUGAGUUAUCCAUUAAUUUUUUUGAGGAGAAAAAUAAAGCAGU